rnacentral:rRNA from 1 species
CCUACGGGUGGCAGCAGUGAGGAAUAUUGGUCAAUGGGCGCGAGCCUGAACCAGCCAAGUCGCGUGAGGGAGGACCGCCCUACGGGUUGUAAACCUCUUUUGCCGGGGAGCAACGGGCGUCACGUGUGGCGCCACUGAGAGUACCCGGAGAAAAAGCAUCGGCAAACUCCGUGCCGGCACCCGCGGUAAUAGGGAGGAUGCGAGGGUUAGCGGGAUUUAUUGGGUUAAAGGGGUGCGUGGGCGGAUCUUUAGGUAGGUGUGAAAAUUGAGGGGCCAAACCCCUUACUGCCAUUGAAACUGGCGAUCUUGAGUGGAAGAGAAGUAUGCGGAAUGCGUGGUGUAGCGGUGAAAUGCAUAGAUAUCACGCAGAACCCCGAUUGCGAAGGCAGCAUGCCGGCUUCCGACUGACGCUGAAGCACGAAAGCGUGGGGAUCGAACAGGAUUAGAUACCCGAGUAGUC